rnacentral:rRNA from 1 species
AGAGUUUGAUCAUGGCUCAGGACGAACGCUGGCGGCGCGCCUAACACAUGCAAGUCGAGCGAGAACCAGGGCUUCGGCCCUGGGGACAGCGGCGAACGGGUGAGUAACACGUGGAUAACCUGCCCUCGGCACCGGAAUAGCCCGGGGAAACCCGGAUUAAUGCCGGAUAGCCCCACAUCCCUGCGGGGAACGUGGGAAAAGGUAGCUUCGGCCUCUGGCCGAGGAUGGGUCCGCGGUGGAUUAGCUUGUUGGCGGGGUAACGGCCCACCAAGGCGACGAUCCAUAGCUGGUCUGAGAGGACGAUCAGCCACACUGGGACUGAGACACGGCCCAGACUCCUACGGGAGGCAGCAGUGGGGAAUCUUGCGCAAUGGGCGAAAGCCUGACGCAGCGACGCCGCGUGCGGGAAGAAGGCCUUCGGGUUGUAAACCGCUUUCAGGAGGGACGAAGCCACUCGGGUGAAUAGCCCAGAGGGUGACGGUACCUCCAGAAGAAGCCCCGGCUAACUACGUGCCAGCAGCCGCGGUAAUACGUAGGGGGCAAGCGUUGUCCGGAUUCAUUGGGCGUAAAGAGCGUGUAGGCGGCCAGGUAGGUCGGUUGUGAAAACUGGAGGCUCAACCUUCAGACGUCGACCGAAACCAUCUGGCUAGAGUCCGGGAGAGGAGAGUGGAAUUCCUGGUGUAGCGGUGAAAUGCGCAGAUAUCAGGAAGAACACCCGUGGCGAAAGCGGCUCUCUGGAACGGUACUGACGCUGAGACGCGAAAGCGUGGGGAGCGAACAGGAUUAGAUACCCUGGUAGUCCACGCCGUAAACGAUGGGCGCUAGGUGUGGGAGGUGUCGACUCCUUCCGUGCCGCAGCUAACGCAUUAAGCGCCCCGCCUGGGGAGUACGGCCGCAAGGCUAAAACUCAAAUGAAUUGACGG